rnacentral:misc_RNA from 1 species
CAAAACUCAAGCUCAGCUUGGUGAUGGGCGUCUGUCCCGCCCCCGCGCGUGGACUCGCCUCAAAAGCAGUUGGCAGCUCCCUUUUCGGCUCUGAAUCGCAGCAGAUUUGCGUGAUGCGGCGAGAGGAGGGGCUUACCAGUAAGCAAACCACCCCA